GAUGAACGCUGGCGGCGUGCCUAAUACAUGCAAGUCGAGCGAACAGACGAGGAGGUUGCUCCUCUGACGUUAGCGGCGGACGGGUGAGUAACACGUGGAUAACCUACCUAUAAGACUGGGAUAACUUCGGGAAACCGGAGCUAAUACCGGAUAAUAUAUUGAACCGCAUGGUUUAAUAGUGAAAGACGGUUUUGCUGUCACUUAUAGAUGGAUCCGCGCCGCAUUAGCUAGUUGGUAAGGUAACGGCUUACCAAGGCAACGAUGCGUAGCCGACCUGAGAGGGUGAUCGGCCACACUGGAACUGAGACACGGUCCAGACUCCUACGGGAGGCAGCAGUAGGGAAUCUUCCGCAAUGGGCGAAAGCCUGACGGAGCAACGCCGCGUGAGUGAUGAAGGUCUUCGGAUCGUAAAACUCUGUUAUUAGGGAAGAACAAAUGUGUAAGUAACUAUGCACGUCUUGACGGUACCUAAUCAGAAAGCCACGGCUAACUACGUG
rnacentral:rRNA from 1 species